rnacentral:rRNA from 1 species
AAGCAUAUCAAUAAGCGGAGGAAAAGAAACCAACAGGGAUUGCCCCAGUAACGGCGAGUGAAGCGGCAACAGCUCAAAUUUGAAAUCUGGUCCCUAGGGCCCGAGUUGUAAUUUGUAGAGGAUGCUUUUGGUGAGGUGCCGCCCGAGUUCCCUGGAACGGGACGCCACAGAGGGUGAGAGCCCCGUCUGGCUGGCCGCCGAGCCUCUGUAAAGCUCCUUCGACGAGUCGAGUAGUUUGGGAAUGCUGCUCAAAAUGGGAGGUAUAUGUCUUCUAAAGCUAAAUAUUGGCCAGAGACCGAUAGCGCACAAGUAGAGUGAUCGAAAGAUGAAAAGCACCUUGAAAAGAGGGUUAAAUAGUACGUGAAAUUGUUGAAAGGGAAGCGCUUGUGACCAGACUUGGGCGCGGCGGAUCAUCCGGGGUUCUCUCCGGUGCACUUCGCCGCGUCUAGGCCAGCAUCAGUUCGUCGCGGGGGAAAAAGGCUUCGGGAACGUGGCUCCUCCGGGAGUGUUAUAGCCCGUUGCAUAAUACCCUGCGGUGGACUGAGGACCGCGCAUCUGCAAGGAUGCUGGCGUAAUGGUCACCAGCGACCCGUCUGAA